rnacentral:tRNA from 1 species
UCAUCACUAUUGUAGCGGAAAUGACCUGCAUUAACAACUGAAGCAAUUGAUGUGCUACCAGCUACACUGCCAGU